rnacentral:rRNA from 1 species
UACGGAGGGGGCUAGCGUUGUUCGGAAUUACUGGGCGUAAAGCGCACGUAGGCGGCUUUGUAAGUUAGAGGUGAAAGCCCUGGGCUCAACCCAGGAACUGCUUCGAAUACUGGCGGACUUGAGGCUAGUAUGGGUCACUGGAACUGACGGUGGAGCGGUGAAAUGCGUAGAUAUCGUCAGGAACGCCAAUGGUGAAGACAGGUGACUGGGCUAGAUCUGACACUGAGGCACGAAAGCGUGGGGAGCGAACGGG